rnacentral:rRNA from 1 species
UACGUAGGGUGCGAGCGUUGUCCGGAAUUAUUGGGCGUAAAGAGCUCGUAGGCGGCUUGUCACGUCGGAUGUGAAAGCUCGGGGCUUAACCCCGAGUCUGCAUUCGAUACGGGCUAGCUAGAGUGUGGUAGGGGAGAUCGGAAUUCCCGGUGUAGUGGUGAAAUGCGUAGAUAUCGGGAGGAACACCAGUGGCGAAGGCGACUAUCUGGGGUGCAACUGACGCUGAGGCGCGAAGGCUAGGGUAGCAAACAGG